CUGCCCACUGCCACCCACCAGUCAGUCUCCUUCCAGCAGGCACAGCUGGGAGGUCACCCUGGGCUGCUCUCCAGCAGGUGGGAAGCAGAACCAUGCUGGGUCCCCUCGCCUUCCUGUGCGCCCUCCUGUUUCCCGGCGGUGUGGCAGCAUUCAGCGUAGAGCAGCACACUGUGGCCGUGGGGCAUGUAGGCAGCUACGCCACGCUGUCCUGCAAAGCCAGCAACAGGGUUAACUACAUGCACUGGUACCUCCACCAGGAGGGAAGUGCCCCCAAGUGGAUCUUCAGACUGGAAUUGUCCACAUCAUCUGUGCAUAGUGAUGGAGGCUUCAAAGCAGACAAAGUCAACGCCACGUGUAACAGGGAUAGCAACACCUGUAACCUGUCCAUCCAGAGGCUGGAGAAGAGCGACGAGGGCGUGUACUACUGCGCUGCCUGGGAGUACCACAGCUAUAAAAGUCCUGAUGAAGACACUUUCCCCAAGCCCACGACUUUUCUUCCUUCAGAUGAUGAAGUAAAACUCCAUAAGGCUGGAACAUAUCUCUGUCUUCUUGAGGACUUUUCCCCUGAUUUUAUUAUUAUAGAUUGGAAAGAAAAGAAUGGCAAAACAGUUCUGGAAUUCCUGCAGGGAAACACCAUGAAGACUAAGGACACGUACAUGAAAUACACCUGGCUGACCGUGAGUAAAGAGUCAAUGGGUAAAGAACACCAGUGUAUCAUCACACACGAGAAGAAUAAAGAAGGGGUUGACCAAGAGAUUCUUUUUCCUUCAAUAAGCAAAGCAGAUUUGGUGACAGAAUCCAAAGCGGGCUUCCAGACAGAAUCAGAGAGAAGUACAAACACAAAGACCGUAACACCGAGCCCUUUGAGUACACUGUCUUCUUCACCGUUUUCAAGUGCUGCGGAGCUCACUGCUAUUAACUACAAAAACUUCUCUGAGAGAUGAAAAUGACCCUCUGCAGCUGCAGCUCAUGAAUACCUCUGCCUACUACACCUACUUCCUCCUCCUGGUCAAGAGCAUGAUCUACUCCAUCCUCACUGCCAUCUUUCUGCCUGGGAGACCAGCACUCUGUGACAACAGGAAGAGUUCCUAAAUAGAUGGUGGCACAAGUGUCCAUUUUUCU